rnacentral:rRNA from 1 species
GGGUGCGUAACGCGUGGGAACCUGCCUUUAGGUUCGGAAUAACAGUGAGAAAUCGCUGCUAAUACCGGAUAAUGUCUUCGGACCAAAGAUUUAUCGCCUUUAGAUGGGCCCGCGUUAGAUUAGAUAGUUGGUGGGGUAAUGGCCUACCAAGUCGACGAUCUAUAGCUGGUCUGAGAGGAUGAUCAGCCACACUGGGACUGAGACACGGCCCAGACUCCUACGGGAGGCAGCAGUGGGGAAUAUUGGACAAUGGGCGAAAGCCUGAUCCAGCAAUGCCGCGUGAGUGAUGAAGGCCUUAGGGUUGUAAAGCUCUUUUACCAGGGAUGAUAAUGACAGUACCUGGAGAAUAAGCUCCGGCUAACUCCGUGCCAGCAGCCGCGGUAAUACGGAGGGAGCUAGCGUUGUUCGGAAUUACUGGGCGUAAAGCGCGCGUAGGCGGCUAUUUAAGUCAGGGGUGAAAUCCCGGGGCUCAACCCCGGAACUGCCUUUGAAACUGGAUGGCUAGAAUCCUGGAGAGGCGAGUGGAAUUCCGAGUGUAGAGGUGAAAUUCGUAGAUAUUCGGAAGAACACCAGUGGCGAAGGCGACUCGCUGGACAGGU